AUUGAACGCUGGCGGCAUGCCUUACACAUGCAAGUCGAACGGCAGCACGGGUGCUUGCACCUGGUGGCGAGUGGCGAACGGGUGAGUAAUAUAUCGGAACGUACCUUAUUGUGGGGGAUAACGCAGCGAAAGCUGUGCUAAUACCGCAUAAUCCCUAAGGGGGAAAGCGGGGGACCGUAAGGCCUCGCGCAAUUAGAGCGGCCGAUACCUGAUUAGCUAGUUGGUGAAGUAAAGGCGCACCAAGGCAACGAUCAGUAGCUGGUCUGAGAGGACGAUCAGCCACACUGGGACUGAGACACGGCCCAGACUCCUACGGGAGGCAGCAGUGGGGAAUUUUGGACAAUGGGGGCAACCCUGAUCCAGCAAUGCCGCGUGAGUGAAGAAGGCCUUCGGGCUGUAAAGCUCUUUUGUCAGGGAAGAAACAGCAGCUCUAACACAGUAUGCGAAUGACGGUACCUGAAGAAUAAGCACCGGCUAACUACGUGCCAGCAGCCGCCGUAA
rnacentral:rRNA from 1 species